AACGAACGCUGGCGGCAGGCCUAACACAUGCAAGUCGAGCGCCCCGCAAGGGGAGCGGCGGACGGGUGAGUAACGCGUGGGAACGUACCCUUUGCUACGGAAUAGCCUCGGGAAACUGGGAGUAAUACCGUAUGUGCCCUUCGGGGGAAAGAUUUAUCGGCAAAGGAUCGGCCCGCGUUGGAUUAGGUAGUUGGUGGGGUAAUGGCCUACCAAGCCGACGAUCCAUAGCUGGUUUGAGACGGAUGAUCAGCCACACUGGGACUGAGACACGGCCCAGACUCCUACGGGAGGCAGCAGUGGGGAAUCUUAGACAAUGGGCGCAAGCCUGAUCUAGCCAUGCCGCGUGAGCGAUGAAGGCCUUAGGGUUGUAAAGCUCUUUCAGUGGGGAAGAUAAUGACUGUACCCACAGAAGAAGACCCGGCUAACUACCGUGCCAGCAGCCGCGGUAAAGU
rnacentral:rRNA from 1 species